rnacentral:rRNA from 1 species
AACGAACGCUGGCGGCAGGCUUAACACAUGCAAGUCGAACGCCCCGCAAGGGGAGUGGCAGACGGGUGAGUAACACGUGGGAACCUUCCUAGAGGUACGGAACAACGCAGGGAAACUUGCGCUAAUACCGUAUACGCUCGAGAGAGGAAAGAUUUAUCGCCUUUAGACGGGCCCGCGGGGGAUUAGCCAGUUGGUGGGGUAACGGCCUACCAAGCCGACGAUCCGUAGCCGAUCUUAGAGGAUGAUCAGCCACACUGGGUCUGAGACACGGCCCAGACUGCUACGGGAGGCAGCAGUGGGGAAUCUUGGACAAUGGGCGCAAGCCUGCUCCAGCCAUGCCGCGUGAGUGAAGAAGGCCUUCGGGUUGUAAAGCUCUUUUGUCAGGGACGAUAAUGACGGUACCUGAAGAAUAAGCCCCGGCAAACUUCGUGCCAGCCGCCGCAGUAA